GACCAGUCGCACGAAUGGCCCCUUUUGAACCCUUAUAAAAUCCCAUUUUAAAACCCUAAAGCCAUUCCCUCUCUGCCAUUUGAAGAUUUGCGCCGUAGCCCCUCUCCCUCUCUGUUGCUUCAGACUCCAACGAAGCAAAGAGACCUUCCGACGCCUCUCACAACGGUUAGUCCUCCUCCCCUCACCCUUUUCGUGUUUCGCUCUUAGGAAGAAGGAAGAGAUACCACGAAACAAACAACAAAAAAACAAUAAAAUAAUAAGAGAUCCCAGAAAACAAAAUUAAUCACCUCUCGAAUCCUUGCUUUUCUAUUUUUCCUCUUUAUUUCCUUUAAUUCUCAAUACCAAAAUUUGCUAACCCCCUUUACAGAUUUGAUUCCCCCCUUUAUACAACCGAAAACCCCUGUUUUUCGUUUGCCCCCUACCUCCUCUGUUCGUGGCUUAUUUGUUGCAGGUGGAUACUAGAGGAGGCGUGCGCGACGUGUGUACGGGGACUGAACAUGGGUGAAGACAGUUACGUGGGCAGUUACUGCGACGCGAAGAACAUGCGUGGCACGAAAGCUAUCUGCUGCUUAGAGUUAGGGUUUGCACACUUGGGCCAUAUUGGGCCGAAUGUAUUAGGAUUUAGCCCAAAUUUUAUUUUGACUGUAUAAUAAACUAUCUUUUUAUUAAAAUUGGUUUUAUUUUCUGCUAAGCCCGGGCCCAAAAUUGGGUAUUACAGCUAUUUCGACAUAUUAGUCACUAAAAAUUCAAUUUAUGUAUUAACAAUUCUCAUUUGUGUUAAUAUUAAAAUUUCAAAAUUUGAACAGUAUAGGGACUUAGAAUGAUCCAAUUAAAGAAUAUAGACUAUAUCUAUAAUCGUACGCAUAGUGCAAGACUAGUUAUUUAAUUUAACCAAACAGAUUUAACUGUUAUUAUUUGGGUUAGGACUAAAAUUCUAAAUUUUAAAAAAUAUAGGGACUAAAAUUGACCAAUUCAAAAAGUAUAAAGAUUAAAAUGAUCAAAUUAAACUAAAGGGACUAAAUCCAUACUUCUUAUAAAGUACAAAGGACUAAUACAAGAAUUUAACAAAAACACCCCCUCAAAUUUUCUACUUCUUGUUUUCAAAAAAAUAAUAGGUUGAAGGUUUCAAAAAAAUAAUACAAUCAACUUUUCAUUUGUCUCCAAUAAACGUUUCUAUGUUGUAAUUUGAGAAUUAACAUAUUUUCAUUCUUAAACUCAAGCAACGCUUGAUCAUAAAUUCUUGAUACCCCUUUUAACUACAAUUCUUUUUACCAUGUGCUAGUGUGACUUGAAAGAAUCUAUCAAUUAAUGAAGCAUACCACAACUCAAAUGAAAAUUUACUCCAAGCCUUUUGCAAAAUCUGCAUACUUCUUUUACUACCUCAACUUCUCUUAAAAGAACCUAUUAAUUAAUGAAUUAUUAUUAUUGUUAUACUUUUAAUCGUGUGAGUACACGUGGUAAAUCAGAAAAGCACCUAAAUACUAAGUUAGUUGUCAGCAAAUCGAAAAGUCACCCACAAGCUCUCAUUCUCAAAGACGACCACUCGGACAGGUGCAAACCAUCCUUUACUAAAUCUUCAAGCUUUCAUUUGGAACAUAAAAUUGUUGGUUACCAAACACAUCGUGGAAUCAAUGGUCUCAUACCAUCAAGUCAAAGUGAAUGACACGAUCUAUCUCAUCGCAGACAUUCUAGUCUCAUCAAAGACAUCUGCCCCAUGUGUUUCGUAAUGAUCACUAAAUGGCAAGCCUAACACAUUAACAUCAUCUUACUUGAGACCCUCGCUUAUAAAUACCUUUAGGAACGAUGAAGGAAAGAACGACUCUCCAAGAAUAUCAAGCAUAUACUUUGUCAACUUACCUUCGACCUUAGCAUUCUCCUCGCCUUCUUUCUUUUUAAUUUUUGGCUUUUUCACCCUAAUUGGGUGAACCAACCUCCACAACAACCAACACUCUCUCUUCCAUGCUUUUUCCUUGUAUCACUGUAUCAACAAUCACCUUGUAUACACAGCCAACUAGACCUUUUCCUAGCUCAUUUUAAUCACAAAAAAUAUUUGUUGGUGCAUGUAAAAUGCUCAAUUGAAUUGCAAGAAACUCCUAAGAUCUUUCUACAUUUUCUAGAUAAAACUUUCGCUUGAGUUCUCAUGCGGAAUGCUUCCCACUACCAGGUCAAGUAAUGGGACUUGUUGGCCUCUAUCCUCGGUGAUAAAACAUAAUGUGAUUGGUAUAAGAUUAUAACAAAAUAUUGUAAAUGCCAACAUGAUCUAAUAGUGCAUACAUUGAAAGUUUAUCCAAUUGUCCUCCUUUAGAGAUAAAGAUUGAAUGAAGAUUACUUGGCUUGUAUAUUAUAAUUUGUAAUUUUGCAAGUUUAGUAACAUAUUAGAUAACUACAAGUCAUUACAAAAGAGUAGAAUUUGAUUGUUUAUAGAAUGAUACUAUCUAUACCUAUUACUAAAGCUUUGGCCAAAGGUUACAGUGAUGCCUGCAAGCAAAUGGGUGAGAAUACAAACCACAACAUUAUCCUGCAUUGUUGCAGAUAUUCUAUGUUCAUUUCCCAACUUCUCACUCACAUUUAUUUCUUUAUAUCUUCAGAGGACUGGUAUAGGUUCUCUUAUAUAUUACUCCCAUUUGUUUUAGGCAGAGAACAGAUGAGAUAUCCAUUUAUUUUGCAUACUUUUCUAAGUCAAAAUUUCAUUAUCAAAUCAAGUAAAUUUUUAAAUGAAUAAAUUAAUUUUAAAAUUAAAAAUAAAAAUGAUACUUUUGGUUUAGUUUAUGCUUAUGCAGUUUGUCAGUGUAGUUUUAUCUUCCAUAAUACUAAGAGAACAUUAAUUUAACAAAGCAAACUCUAAAUAAAAAAGCAGUGGAAAUGUAUGGUUUAAGGGAACACCAUCACAAAACAUGUAAGCAAAUUAUUAAAAUAAAACUAAACUUAUAUAGCUCAAAAUAAGCCAUCCAUCUAAAUGAAACAAUAUAAUUGUUAUUUGUAAGGGCAAAGAGAAACACAUUAAGUUGUUGGAUUCUGAUAGUUGUUGAGCAUUGGCCUGCAAUGCAACAAGAAACUAGCAGACCAGCAUCGAAGUAAAACCAAAAGCAGCAUGAACAUUUUGUUUCUUUUAGUCUAAUUGUAACUUGUUCAAGUUGGCAUGUAACUUGUAACUUGUUAUCAAAGUUAGUAGGAUUAGUUUUAUGAUUUAAUUGAUGUAAUAGCUAAUAUGUCAGCUUCCUUUUGUGUGUAACUCAAGUUUGUAUUAGUCAUGUAUUAGUGGGAGUAGUUAAGUCAUUAGGUAACUGUCAAAUUACUUUGUAACAUUCAUAUAUUUUCAAAUUUUAAAUGAAAAAGUGUGAUGAAUUUUUAGUUAUCAUUCUUAAAACUCUCAUUCUUCUUUUGCUUCAAAUUUUCAGUUUUUGUUUUGCUUUGUUUAGCUGCCAAUGCUCCAACAAAUGGUAAUCAGAGCUUGUCAUCUUUGAGGGCCUCUGUUGUUGGUUAUUUUUGGUUACUUUAUUUUGAGAUUAAAAGCUUGAGAAGAAAAAAACAAGGAGCUGUCGACCUUGUUGUUUCAAAAUAAGUUUCACACCACCUCCACCACCUGUGUUCACUGGUGAAAACUACCACAUUUGGGUGGUUAAGAUGAAAACAUACCUUCAAGCACAUGAUUUGUGUAAUGUGGUCGAGAAUGAUGCUGAACCACCUCUAUUGAGGGCCAAUCCCACCAUUGUACAGAUCAGGCAACACAGUGAAGAGUGUGCCAAGAAGCAUAAAACAAUGACCUGUUUACAGAAUAGAGUAUCUAAUGUGAUCUUCACUCGGAUAAUGGCUUGUGACUCACCUAAGCAAGCAUGGGAGAAGCUGAAGGAGCAGUUCAUGAGUUUAGAUAAGACAAGGCAACAACAAUUGAUCGAUCUCAGGAAAGAUUUUGAGAACUUGAAGAUGAGGGAGUCAGAGACUAUUAAAUAAUAUUUAGACAGAAUAAUAGCCACUGUCAACAGCAUUAGGCUCCUUGGAGAAGACUUUAGUGAGAGCAGAGUUGUUGAAAAAGUAUCACCACUCUUCCUAAGAAGUUAGAGUCAAAUAUUUCAUCACUUAAGGACUCGAGAGACUUGUUAGCUAUCUCACUGUCUGAGCUGAUAAACUCCUUGCAUGCACUUGAGCAAAGGAAGGCCAAUAGGCAGGAAGAGCAUCCUAAAGGAACUUUCCAAGCAAAGGCUAAAGAAGGCUCAAGUUUAAGCCAGAAAGGGAAGAAGCCUUGGCUCGAUAAAAGGGAAAAACCAAUGAGAGAUGUAGGAAAGAAGAGGUUUCCAUCAUGCAUUCACUGCAAAAGAACUACACAUUUGGAGAAAUAUUGUUGGUAUAGGCCAGACAUUCAGUGCAGAAGCUGCAAACAAUUUGGCCAUAUUGAAAAGGUGUGUAAGAGCAAAGAGAAGGCACAAGCUCAGUAGCAAAUGCAAGCUAAGGUUGCUGAGGACUUUCAAGCUUAAGAGGAGUAUGUUUUCACUGCCUUAUGCUUUGCAGCCUCAAGCAAAGUAAAAAAGGACUGGCUAGUGGAUAGUGGCUGCACACAUCACAUGGCAGCUGAUGAAAGGUUGUUCAAAGACCUUGAUAGAAGUUUUUCCUCAAGAAUUAGAGUUGGUAAUGGGAACCUAAUUGAAGCCAAAGGCAGAGGUAAUAUGGUGAUCAACACUUGUUCAGGUCACAAAGUGAUUUCUGAUGUGCUUUUUGUACCUAACAUAGAUCAGAAUUUAUUUAGUGUUGGACAACUAGUAGAAAGAAGAUAUUCUCUGGUUUUUAAGAAUGGUUCUUGCAUUGUUGAAGACUCACAUGAUCAAAAGUUAGUCACAGUAGAAAUGACAGAUAGGUGUUUUAUGCUUGAUGUGAAUCAACUUGAGAAGAAGGCUUACACCAAUCUUGCUGAUAACACUGGUCUUUGGCAUAGGAGACUAGGCUAUGUCAAUUUUAGAUCACUUGAUUUGUUGCACAAGUUGAAUUUGGUAGAAUUCAUGUUAAAAGUUGAACCCAGAGACAUUGUUUGUGAAGUUUGCCAACUUAGUAAGCAGGCUAAAUUACCAUUUCCAUUUAAUAAGGCGUGGAGAGCUCGAGACAGACUUGAGUUGGUCCAUUUUAAUGUCUGUGGGACAAUGAAGACUCCUUCCUUAAAUGUCAGUAGAUAUUUUGUACUAUUUAUUGAUGACUUGACCAGGUUUUGUUGGGUUUAUUUCUUGAAGCUGAAAUUUGAAGUGUUUGAAGCAUUCAGUAAAUUCAAAGCUUUAGUUGAAAACUAGACUAGUUACAAGAUCAAGGCUUUGAGAACUGAUAAUGGCACUGAGUACCUAUCUGAAAGGUUGCAAAAAUUGUGUAAGCAAGCCGGGAUUCAUCUUCCAUUAACAACAGUCUAUAUACCUCAGCAAAAUGGAGUAUGUGAGAGAAAGAAUAGAACUGCGCUUAAUAUGGCCAGAUGUCUGUCAUUUUAGAGUAAGCUUCCAAGUAAAUUUUAGGCUGAGGCAGUUAAUACCUCAGUGUACCUACUUAACAAGCUGCCAACUCAUGCUGUCAAUGACAAGACUCCUUUUGAAGCUUGGCAUGGACUCAAGCCAACCGUUUCACACCUGAAAGUGUUUGGUUGUGUCUGUUAUACUCUCAUCCCAACUGAGAAGAGAACCAAGCUUGAAAGAAGGGCUGUUCCAAGGAUAUUUAUUGGCUACAGUAGCACAAAAAAGGGCUACAGGGUAUUUGAUCCUUCAACAAGAAGGAUUUUAGUGAGUAGAGAUGUAAGGUUUGAUGAAGAGAAGGUUUGGAGUUGGAAUGAUGCAGAUGCAAGGUUGAUUGAAGAACAUCAACUUGACAACAGCCUGGAAUUAGUUGAAAAUGAACCUAGCAAUGAAGAUUUUGAUAAUGCUCCUGUGAGAGGCACCAGAACAAUUGCUGACAUCUACCAAAGAUGUGAUGUUGCAAUAGUGGAACUUUUAAAUUUUAAAGAAGCUACCAAGGACAAGUGUUGGAAGAAGGCCACGGAAGCUGAAUUAGACAUGAUUCAUAAGAAUAACUUUUGGGAAUUGGUUGAUAGACCAGAUCAGAAAAAAGUUAUAGGUGUCAAGUGGGUGUUUAGAGCCAAGUACAAUGCUGAUGACUCAUUGAACAAACACAAGGCAAAGCUUGUGGUAAAAGGCUACAGCCAGCAAUAUGGCAUCGAUUUCAUGGAGACAUUUACUCCAGUAGCAAGGCUAGACAAAAUUAAAAUUCUGUUUGCCUUGGCUGCUCAGAAGCAUUAGAGGGUUCACCAGUUAGAUGUUAAGUCAUCAUUUCUUAAUGGUUUUCUCAAGGAGGAAAUUUUCAUUGAGCAACCAGAUGGGUUUAAGGUCCUAGGAGAGUCUAUAAGUUGAAAAAGACAUUGUAUGGCCUAAAGUAGGUACCAAUGGCCUAGUUUAACAGGAUUGACACAUACCUGUCUAGGCUCGGGUUUGAAAAAAAGUGUUAGUAAAGCUACACUUUAUGUGAAGAGAUCAGAAAAUAAGACCCUGCUGAUUGUUUCUCUUUAUAUGGAUGGCUUAUUUGUGACUGAAAGCAAAGAUGAUUUGAUUAGUGAAUUCAAAGUGCAAAUGCAAGAGGUGUUUGAAAUGACAGAUUUGGGAGUCAUGAUAUACUUCAUUGGUAUAGAAGUGAAUCAAUCUGAUCAAGGCAUUUUCAUUAGCCAACGUGCCUUUGCUUUGAAAAUUCUCAAUAGAUUUUGCAAGUUAAACUGCAAAAUAGUCACUACACCUGUGGCUCAAUGAAAGAAGCUGACUAGUAGUUGGAAUCAAGAGAGGGUUGAUGAGAAGGAAUAUCGAAGCCUAGUAGGUUGCUUGCUUUACUUAACAACAACUAGACCUGACAUUAUGUUUGAUGUUAGUCUUUUAUCAAGAUUUAUGCACUGUUGUGAUGUAGUUCAUUUUAAAGUAGCUAAUAGGAUCCUCAGAUAUGUCAAGGGAACUUUAAGUUAUGGAAUUAAAUUUGAGAAGAGAAAAGAGCUUAAGCUGACAGGAUACUCUAAUAGUGAUUGGGAUCGCUCUGUCGAUGAUAUGAAGAGCUCCUUGGUUACUUUUUUACUCUUGGAUCAAGAGUUUUCUAUUGGAGUUCAAAGAAACAACAAACGGUUGCUCAAUCAAUAGCUAAAGCAGAAUACAUUACAGCUGUUGUAGCUGUUAAUCAAGCCAUUUGGCAUAGAAAGCUUCUAUGUGACUUGAAUGAAGAACAGAUUGAACCAACUGAAAUCAGGGUUGAUAACUAGUCAGCAGUUUUCAUAGCCAAAAAUCUAGUUUUUCAUGGCAAAACUAAAUAUUUUGAUAUCAAAUUUCACUUUUUUCGAGAAUCUGAGCAAUCAAAAGAAGUCAGUCUUGUUCAUUGUAGCUCAGAAAACCAAUUAGCUGAUAUUUUGACUAAGUCACUCGGUGCUACAAGGUUUGAAAUGUUAAGGAGAAAAAUUGGUGUUUGUUGCAUACAGUCCAAGGAGGAGUGUUGAGUAUUGGCCUACAAUAUAACAAAAAACCAGCAAACUAGUAUCGAAGUAAAACCAAAAGAAGCAUAAGCAUUUUGUUUCUUUUAGUCUAAUUGUAACUUGUUCGAGUUGGCAUGUAACUUGUAACUUGUUAUUAAAGUUAGUAGGAUUAGUUUUAUGAUUUAAUUGAUGUAAUAGUUGAUAUGUCAGCUUUCUUUUGUGUGUAACUCAAGUUUGUAUUAGUCAUGUAUUAGUGGGAGCAGUUAAGUCAUUAGGUAACUGUCAAAUUACUUUGUAACUUUCAUAUAUUUUCAAAUUUUAAAUGAAAAAGUGUGAUGAAUUUUCAGUUAUCAUUAUUAAAACUCUCAUUCUUCUUUUGCUUCGGUUUUUCAGUUUUUGUUUUGCUUUGUUUAGCUGCCAAUGUUCCAACAAUAGUGCAUCUAAUACAGUACUAAAAGCUUGAUAACAUCUUUUUGAGUGAACAUUAUUGGAGCUUACUGCUACUCACUCAGCUUUGGCUUAACAUAAAGAUUGUUUAAAGAAAUCCAUGAAUAGGAUAUUCUGAAACAGAGAUGAACAAAGUAAUAUAUGAUGAACAUAAGAAUUUAGAAGCUAAAAUCAUUUGCCAUCCAUUUAUUCUUACCUACUCUUAUGGGAUACAAAGUGCAGUCUCAACUUACUGCAAUGUGCUUCUUUUAAAAUAGUAGAAUUGAGCUUUGAAAACUUUAUUAGGAGACAGCAUGUCCAACCAUUGAUCCUGAAAAUAUAGUAGAAAAUUAUAUCCUAAAUUCAUCAAAUCAAAAUCAUUUUUGAAUGAACAAUGAAUUCUGGGCAGCAGUGAUCACUAAUAACAGAUAUGGAUGAAUAAUACUGCAGAUGUCUAGACAUCCUUAUUAACGGGAAUGUAGUGGUCUUUUAGAUAAUUCUUGGAUGUAAUUUGAUAAUUUAAUGACUACUAAAAAGUUCAAACUUUCUUACUUUUUUUCUUUUAAUUUGGUUUGCUCAAACUCAACCUGUCAAAUAAGAAUACUCUUAUUUAAAAUUAAAAUUCAAAAGUAGAAAAUCACCUAAUUACCGAUUCAAAUGGAUGGAAUGUAGGAUAUGUUGGGCCAAUCCUCUCCUCUCUCUUUCUAGCACCGCCUUUCCAGAUGUGGACACCCUGCAAUGCUUAGCAUUUCUAGAGUCAUGAGGCUUUGUAUCCCUCAAGGCAAUGACAUAAAACUGGAGCAAUCCUUAAUCUCCAAUUUUGAAAGUAAGGUGAGGUGUUGUAUCUCAUUUGAAAGAGAAAUUAAUCUCUCAUAACUCGAAAUACACAAAGGUUGAAGAGAAGAGAGAUGUUGGACAAUCAUCAAUAACCAAGUCUAGGAGUGAAGUCAAAUAUCACACCCCUUCAGUUAAAGAGGCUAAUUUCUUACUAUGAUGAAUCGUCAGUGAAAAUAAGGAAGAUAAGCCUUGCAAUCCAUUUAUCGGAAGAGAUAAAAGGCUAUCACAUCGAGUUAACUAUAAGAAUAUUGGCAUUCAACAUCAAAGAUUUGAGUAAAGCAACAUUAAUUCUUUCAACAUUUAGAUUUUUUAGAGAUUGAAGCAUUGGAAAUUUAACCAACUUAGGACAAUCUUCAAUAAUUAAUGAACUUAAGAUAGGAAAAUGUUCUCUACCAUUCAUUGCUGUUCAUUUCUCCAAACAUGGUGCCCAACGUAUUUCAAGAACCUUGAGUGAUGGAAAAGAACUUUCCAUAUCUCUAUAGAAGUUGCUGUCAAUAUACUUCAAAGCACCCAUUCUAUAAAUAGUAAGGACCUCAAGGAAGCGUAAUUUCCCUAAAGGUAGUAGAUGGUAUCUUUCACAAUUUAUUAAUGAGAUUUCAACAAGGUUUGGUAGAAGCAAAUCCAUCAUCCAAUAUGGAAACUUAACACAUUGGCAAUCAAUUAGGCAUAACUUCUUCAAGCUUGAAUGAGGCUGGAAAAAAUUAAGAAUCUCUUCAUCAUUUCCAUUUUGAUGAUGAGAGGUUUCUUAGCUCUUUACUUCCCAAGAUGGCCUUAACGAUCUUAAAUUUUGCUUCUCUAAAAAUAAAAUAUCGGUAAUGACAAUAUAUAAUUUUUACGUGGAAACCUUUUCAGGAAAAAAACCACGGACAAAUGAGAAGAAAAUUCACUAUGUCGAAUUCGAAUGAUUACAAGAGGAGUAAACUAUGUCUAUUUAUAGGCUUGUAAAACCAUAUCCUAAUAGGAGUCUAGUAAGAUUGAAACACCUUAUUCUAAUAAAUAUCAAAUAAGUGGAGUUUAAUAAGGUUUAAAAAACCUUAUUCUAAAAUAAAAUAAAAUAAAAGAAGUGUAAUUCUAUAGGGAUUUUACUUUUAUUUUAUUUUACCACUGUAUUUUAUUUAAAUAAGGAUUCGGGUCACUUAAUUCUAACAAUCUCUACCUUGACACGAAUUCUCAAUGAACAAGUUCUUCAUCGCAAACUUUCAACGAAUAAGUUCUCCACCUCUUCCAUAAAACCCCUUAAGAGUUUAACCUCAACAAUGAACACCAAUCAAGUCUAAGCAAUGCUCAAACUUGGUUAUAGAAAGUGACUUAGUCAUCAUAUUUGCAAGAUUUUCAUGAGUACUAAUUUUACUCACAGCAAUAUCACCACGAGCAAUAAUAUCACGAAUAAAAUGAUACCGAACAUCAAUGUGCUUUGCUCUCUCAUGAAACAUUUGAUCUUUUGUAAGGAAGAUGGCACUCUAACUAUCACAAAAUAUUGUAUUGAUUUGAAGGUCUUCAUUGAGUUCACUAAAUAGUCCCUUCAACCAAAUAGCUUCUUUACAAGCCUUAGUAAUCACCAUGUACUCAACUUUAGUGGUAGAUAAAGCGACUGUAGUUUGCAAAAUGGUUUUCCAACUGAUUGCACAACCUUCGAUUGUAAAUACAUAACCUGUGAGAGAUCUUCUUAUAUCAAGAUCUCCAGCAAAAUCAAAACCAACAUACCCAAUGACUCCAUCUCUAGUUUUUCCAAACUGUAAGCAAACAUCAGUAGUACCUCGUAAGUAUCUUAAAACCCACUGAAUUGCUUUCCAAUGUUCUUUACUGGGAUUCGCCAUGUAUCUGCUAACUGCACUGACUGCAUAUGAUAAAUUUGGACGUGAACAAACUAUGGCAUACAUGAAAGAUCCCACUGCACUAGAGUAUAGAACAUAUGACAUGUAUUUAAUAUCAUCAUCUGAUUGUGGAGACAAAGCCGAUAAAAGUCUGAAAAGGGCUACUAAAGGAGUACUAACAGGCUUAGCAUUCUGCAUAUUGAAUCUGCAAAGAACUUUCUCAAUGUACCCCUUCUGACUUAGGUACAAUUUACUUGCUUUUCUAUCUCUAAGAAUCUCCAUACCAAAUAUCUUCUUUGCUGGUCCCAAAUCUUUCAUCCCAAAUUCUUCACUUAGUUGGGCUUUGACCUUUCUUAUCUCUCCUUUAUCUUUCGCUACUAUCAACAUGUCAUCAACAUAAAGGAUUAGAUACACAAAAGAACCAUCACUAUUUUUGUUAAAGUAAACAUAACUGUCAAAGCUACUUCUUUUAAAAUCAUGAGAAGUCAUAAAUGAAUCAAACCUCUUGUACCACUGUAUUGGUGACUGUUUUAAACCGUAAAGGGACUUUUUCAGCAAGCAAACAUAAUCCUCUUUUUUUGAGAUUGUAAAACCCUCUAGUUGUUGCAUGUAAAUAUCCUCUUCAAGUUCUCCAUGCAAAAAUACAAUUUUUACAUCUAACUGCUCCAGAUCCAAAUCAUACAUGGCCACAUUACCAAGCAAAGCUCGAAUCGAACUAUACUUCACAACUGGGGAGAACAUAUCUGUGAAGUCCACUCCUAGAAUUUGACUAUAACUCUUUGCAACAAGCCUUGCUUUAUAUCUAGGUUUUUCAACUCCUAGAGUCCCAUCUUUCUUUUUAAACACCCAUUACAACGAAUAACCUUUUUACCUUUAGGAAGUUUCAUAAGAUCCCAUGUUUUGUUUUUGUGGAGUGAUUCCAUCUCCUCUUGCAUAACAAACAUCCAUUUUUCUGAGUCUUCACAACUAACCGCCUCAGAAUAAAUAGAUGGCUCUUGGUUUGCAUAUAUAUCUUAAGCCACAUUUAAAGCAUAAGCAACAAGAUCAGCCUCGACAUACUUCUUUGGAGGUUUAAUUUCUCUUCUAGUUCUGUUUUUGGCGAUAAAGUAUUAUGGUGAAGAAGCAACUCUAUUCUGAAUUUUAGUACUGGCUUGAGGAGUCGACUCUAUUGUAGAUUCUGAAUUAAGCUGAUUUUCCACCUACUUUUGAUUUUCUUUAUUCGAAGAGCCUUUAAGAGAUAAGUUAGGUAGCAUAACAGUUUCAUCAAAAACAACAUCUCUGCUAAUCACAACUUUUCUAUUUUCAAGACACCAUAACAUAUACCUUUUUACACCAGCUUUAUAACUAAGAAAAAUACAUUUAAUAGAUCUCAGUUCCAAUUUUCCAUUAUCAACAUGAGCAUACGCAGGACACCCAAAGAUUUUUAAAUCAGAAUAGUUAGUAGGAUUACCAGACCAUACCUUUUGUGGAGUCUUUUUUUCAAUGGUAAUGGAUGGAGAUCGGUUGAUAAAAAAAUAUGCAGUAGAGGCUGUUUUGGCCCAAAAUGACUUUGGUAAGUUGGAAUUUAACAACAUACACCGACCCUUCUCCAUGAUCGUUCUGUUCAUUAGUUCUGUAAUGCCAUUUUGCUGUGGCGUAUGACGAACUGUCAAAUGUCUCACGAUCCUUUCUGACUUACAUAGCUUAUUAAACUCACCAGAACAGAAAUCUAAGCCAUUAUUUGUGUGGAAGUAUUUUAUUUGUUUUCCCGUCUAUUUUUCAAUCAUAGUUUUCCAAAACUUAAAUGCGAAAAACACAUCGCUUUUAUGCUUCAGAAAGAACGCCCAAACUUUUUGGGAAAAAUCAUCAAUAAAAGUUAGCAUAUAAUUAGCUCCACCUCUCGAAGGCACUUUGGAAGUCCCCAACAGAUCAGAAUGAAUAUACUCCAACAUUUCCUUCAUUUUAUGGAUUCCUGUAGUGAAUCAAACUCUCUUUUGCUUCCUAAAAAUGCAGUGCUCACAGAACUUCAGUUUGUAAAUUUCUUACCCAUCAAUAAGUCUUCUUUUGCUCAAUUCUGCCAUGCCAUUCUCACUCAUAUGCCCUAGGCGCAUAUGCCAAAGGUUAGUAAUAUCAUUAUCUGACAAGAAAGAGGAUGCGACAGUUGCAUCACCAAUAACAGUAGAACCCUACAAAAUAUAUAACUUGACAGUCUUUCUCUGCCCUUUCAUCACAACGAGGGAACCUUUAAAAAUCUUCAAAACCCUACUUUCAGCUGUGUAUUUGUACUAUUUUGAAUCAAGAGUACUCAACGAAAUUAAAUUUCUCUUCAAUUCUGGAACAUGUCAUAUGUCACUAAGUGUUCUAACAACUCCAUCAAACAUUUUAACUUUAAUUGUUCCAACACCUGCGAUUUUACAUGAAGUAUUAUUUCCCAUCAAAACUACACCUUCAGACACUGUUUCGUAAGUUGUAAACCAAUCCCGAUUGGGACUCAUAUGAAAGGUGCAACUCGAAUUAAGGAUCCAUACCUCGCUCACUUUAGAAUUGUUGACAAAAGCGACUAGAAGUUCACCAUCGCUGUAGUCUUCGACAACAUCAGCUUUACCGAAAUUUUCUGGUUGUUUUCCAUUUUAAUUAGCAGCCUCCAUUUUGAUAUUAUUCUGUAGCUUAUAGCACUUAGAUUUAAAAUACCCUUUCUUUUUGCAGAAGUUACAAGGUUUACCACUGUUUGAAUACUUUGAUCUACUAUUAGAUUUACCGCGAGGAUUCUGUUCCUGUGUUUUUCCAUGAUCAUCAUUAGUAUUCUGUUCAUUAGUUCUGUAACACCAUUUUACUGUGGAGUAUGAUGAACUGUCAAAUGUCUCAUGAUCCUUUCUGACUUUCAUAGUUUAUUAAACUCAUCAGAACAAAACUCGAAGCCAUUGUUUGUGUGGAGGUAUUUUAUUUGUUUUCCCAUCUGUUUUUCAAUCAAUCAUAUUUUUCCAAAAUUUAAAUGCAGAAAACAUACCGCUUUUCUGCUUCAGGAAGAACGACCAAAAUUUUCUACAAAAAUCAUCAAUAAUAGUUAGCAUAUAAUUAGCUCCACCUCUCGAAGGCACUUUGAAUGUCCCCCACAGAUCAGAAUGAAUAUACUCCAACGUUUCCUUUGUUUUAUGGAUUCCUGUAGUGAAUCAAACUCUCUUUUGCUUCCUAAAAAUGCAGUGCUCACGGAACUUCUGUUUGCAAAUUCCUUACCCAUCCAGAAGUCUUCUUUUGCUCAAUUCUGCCAUGCCAUUCUCACUCAUAUGCCCUAGGCGCAUACGCCAAAGGUUAGUAAUAUCAUCAUCUGACAAGAAAGAGGAUGCGAUAGCUGCAUCACCAAUAACAGUAGAAUCCUACAAAUAUAUAACUUGACAGUCUUUCUCUGCCCUUUCAUCACAACGAGGGAACCUUUAGAAAUCUUCAAAACCCCACUUUCAGCUGUGUAUUUGUACUAUUUUGAAUCAAGAGUACUCAAUGAAAUUAAAUUUCUCUUCAAUUCUAGAACAUGCCAUACGUCACUAAGUGUUCUAACAACUCCAUCAAACAUUUUAACUUUAAUUAUUCCAACACCUGCGAUUUUACAUGAAGUAUUAUUUCCAAUCAAAACAACACCUUCAGACACUGUUUCGUAAGUUGUAAACCAAUCCCGAUUGGGACUCAUGUGAAAGGUACAACUCGAAUCAAGGAUCCACUCCUCGCUCACUUUAGAAUUGUUGACAAAAGCGACUAGAAGUUCACCAUCGCUGUAGUCUUCUACAAAAUCAGCUUUACCAAAAUUUUCUGGUUGUUUUCCAUUUUAAUUCGCAGCCUCCCUUUUGAUCUUAUUCUGUAGCUUAUAGCACUUAGAUUUAAUAUGCCCUUUCUUCUUGCAAAACUUACAAAGUUUACCACUGUUUGAAGACUUUGAUCUACUCUUAGAUUUACCGCGAUGAUUCUGUUCUUGUGUCUUUCCACGAUCAUCAUCAGCAUUCUAUUCAUUAGUUCUGUAACGCCAUUUUGCUAUGGUGUAUGAGGAACUGUCAAGUGUCUUACGAUCCUUUCUAACUUACAUAGUUUAUUAAACUCAUCAGAAUAGAACUCUAAGCCAUUGUUUUUGCGGAGGUAUUUUAUUUGUUUUCCCAUCUGUUUUUCAAUCAUAGUUUUCCAAAACUUAAAUGCGAAAAACACAUCACUUUUCUGCUUCAGGAAGAACGCCCAAACUUUUCUGGAAAAAUCAUCAAUAAUAGUUAGCAUAUAAUUAGCUCCACCCCUCGAAGGCACUUUGGAUGGCCCCCACAGAUCAGAAUGAAUAUACUCUAACGUUUCCUUUGUUUUAUGGAUUCCUCUAGUUAAUCAAACUCUCUUUUGCUUCCUAAAAAUGUAAUGCUCACAAAACUUCAUUUUGCAAAUUCCUUGCUCAUCAAGAAGUCCUCUUUUGCUCAAUUCUGCCAUGCCAUUCUCACUCAUAUGCCCUAGGCGUAUAUGCCAAAAUUUAGUAAUAUCAUCAUCUGACAAGGAGGAGGAUGCGACAGCUGCAUCACUAAUAACAGUAGAACCCUGCAAAAUAUAUAACUUGGCAGUAUUUCUCUUCCCUUUCAUCACAACGAGGGAACCUUUAGAAAUCUUUAAAACCCCACUUUUAGCUGUGUAUUUGUACUGUUUUGAAUCAAGAGUACUCAAUGAAAUUAAAUUUCUCUUCAAUUCUGGAACAUGUCAUAAGUCACUAAGUGUUCUAACAACUCCAUCAAACAUUUUAACUUUAAUUGUUCCAACACCUGUGAUUUUACAUGAAGUAUUAUUUCCCAUCAAAACAAAACCUUCAGACACUGUUUCGUAAGUUGUAAACCAAUCUCGAUUGGGACUCAUGUGAAAGGUACAACUCGAAUCAAUGAUCCACUCCUCGCUCACUUUAGAAUUGUUGACAAAAGCGACUAGAAGUUCACCAUCGCUGUAGUCUUCUACAACAUCAGCUUUACUGAAAUUUUUUGGUUGUUUUCCAUUUUAAUUCGCAACCUCUCUUUUGAUCUUAUUCUGUAGCUUAUAACACUUAGAUUUAAUAUGCCCUUUCUUCUUGCAGAAGUUACAAGUUUUACCAUUGUUUGAAGACUUCGAUCUACCCUUAGAUUUACCGCGAGGAUUCUGUUCCUGUAUCUUUCCACGAUCAUCAUCAGCAUUCUGAUCUUGUCUCCCACGAACAAUGAGACGCUCUCCCUGAGAGUAGGUUUUAACCACAAGAUGCUUCAUCUUAUCAUACGAGGUUAAAGAAUCAUAAACCUUAUGAACUGUGAGAGACUCACAGCUAUAUAAAAUAGUAUCUCUAAAGUUUGAAUAAGACAAGGGUAAUGAAUAAAGUAGAAUCAACCCUAGAUCUUUUUUUAUCAUACUGAACCUCCAUGACCUCCAAGUUUGAGAGAAUUCUUUAAACACUGUUAAGUGUUCGUGCACAGACGCAGCUUCCUCCAAACGAUGAGUAUAAAGACGCCACUUCAUAUGCAACUUGCUAGUUAGAGUAUUCGACAUGCAUAUUUGUUCCAACCUCUUCCAUAAUCUAGUGACGGUCUUCUCCUUCAUCACAUCCUGCAAAAUUUCGUUAGAAAAAUGUAGAUGUAACUGUGUUAACGCCUUUCGAUCCUUGCGAUUCUUCUCUUCCUCCGUCAGUGUCGAAGGCAUCUUAUCUACCCCUAACAGGGAUUCCUCUAAGUCCAUCUGUGCAAGAACUGCCUGCAUCUUUAUCUGCCACAACGCAAAUCUGGUGUUGCGAUCCAAUAGCGAAAUUUCAUACUUCAAAGAUGUCAUUACCGUGAUUAAGAUGAACAACCCAAAAGCUCAGAUACCAAUUUGUAAAAAUAGAAUGUCGGUAAUGACAAUAUAUGAUUUUUACGUAGAAACCCUUUCGGGAAAAAAACCACGGGCAGAGGAGAAGAAAAUUCACUAUGUUGAAUUCAAAUGAUUACAACAGGAGUAGACUAUGUCUAUUUAUAGGCUUGUAAAACCAUAUUCUAAUAGGAGUGUAGUAAGAUUGAAACACCUUAUUCUAAUCAAUAUCAAAUAGAUGGAGUUUAAUAAGGUUUAAAAAACCUUAUUCUAAAAUAAAAUAAAAGAAGUGUAGUUCUAUAAGGAUUUUACUUUUAUUUUAUUUUACCACUAUAUUUUAUUUGAAUAAGGAUUCAGGUCACUUAAUUCUAACAGCUUCUUUAUCAAAUUGGCAUUUUUAGCUUCUGUUGAACUAUUCACAUUGCAAAGUCCUGUGAUGCUCAUUUCCCCCAGUAGGUCCAACUCUUUCAACUUAUCAAUGCCACAACAACCAUAGCACUUUCCCACAAUGAACUCGCUGAGCUUGUGCAAGCAUGACAAUUGACCCACCCCAACAGGCAUAGAAGUUGGUGCAUGACAAUUUUGGUAUUUUAUGAAUAAAAUUAUAAGAAGUUAAUUGAAUGACUUCAAAAAAUUGAAUAUGUCACUUUUUUUAUAGGUGUAUUCGCUCCCACCAUAUAUUUUAAUGUACAAAAGAGUUACUAGUAAAUAAAAGACUUAAUGAUAAAUUUAGCCACUAACGUUUACAUAUAAUUUGAUUCUUAUUUAUAAGAAAUCUUAUCUCUCUUUACAAAAACACAACAAUCUAAAUUGAUGUUUAUUUGAAUUACUAUAUUUUUUUAAAAGUUGAAUUACUAUAUCUUAAUAAUAUAAUGAUUAUAUUUGAAUCAUCACAACUCUUACUUAAUAAUUAAUUGAUAUAAUUUUUAUAAUUUAGAGAUAUAAUCUAGCACUUUUAAUUUUUCAUUUAGAUUAAUUAUGAAUUUUUAUUUAUAAAUAUUAUAAAUAGUUUAAAAAUAUUCCAACAUAAACUUCUAGGUAAAUAAGUUUUGGUGGAUAAAGUUUAAUUCUUGCAAACUAAAAUACAAAAUGGGAAAAAAAAAUCCGCCCUUAUAUUUUAACUCAUGAAAUAUGGUAUGCUAUAAUGCUAUAUUCAUAUCCUCAAAUAGAGUUGAACAAAGUAAAUAUCUGAACAUAACAAUUUAGAAGCUAUAAGUAUUUGUGGUUUAUUUAUUCUUACCUGCUCUUCUCAACUUAAUGCAACGUGCUUUGUUCAAAUAGCAUAAUUGAGCGUUUUUGAAAUUUUUUCAGAAGAUGUCUUCUCCACCAAGCCUGAAAAUAUAUAUAGAUAAUCAUAUCUUAAUUUUUCAUCAAAUGAAAAACAUUAAUAAUUGACAUAGAUGAAUUAUACUACAUUGAACAUAUUUAGAGAUCCUUAUUCACAGAACUGUACUGGUCAGUGAUAAGAUAGUGGUAAGAUUACUCAAAAAAAAUAUAUUUUUUUUAAAAAUUGGUCCGGCUCAAACUCAACUCACCAAGAAAGAGUAUGUUAGCAUUAAAAAUUAAAAGUAAAAAGUAAAAAAAAUAGAAAUCGCCUUUUUGUGUAUUUCAAUGAUUGGAAUGUGAUUUAUGUUGGGCCAAUCUUCUCCUCUCUUUUAUUUACCCCGCCUUUCUAGAUGUGGGCAUUCUACGAUUUUCAGUGUUUCCAAUACCGUGAGGCCCCGUAUCCCUCGGGGCAAUGACAUCAAAUUAGGGCAACAUUCAAUCUCCAGUUUUGAAAGUAAGGCAAGGUGUUCUAUCUCAUUUGGGAGAGAAAUUAAUCUCUCACAAAAGCAUAUAAGUAGAGAUCAAAGAGAAGAGAGAUAUUGGAUACUAUCUGGCAAUGAGGUUAACUUUGGGCAUCCACCGAUAAGCAAGUAUUGGAGUGAAGUCAGAUAUCUCACCCCCUCGCAUAAAGAGCCUAUUUCUUACAAUUUUGAAUCCGCAAUAAAGACAAAGAAGAUAAGCCUUGCAAACCAUUUACUGGAAGUGAUACUAGUCUGUCACAUUGACUUAAUUUCAAAGUUUCUAAAGAGCUGAGGUUUUGUAAUCCUGAAGACAAGCUUUCAAGUUGUAAGCUACAUGUAAAACUCAAGUGUUUAAGGGUGGAUAGAUUAUCCGAUAGAUCACAUGAAGACAUUAGAGUACUUGACACAAACGUCAAGCUGUCAAGGUGUUUUUGAUUGUGCAAUAGUCCAUCCGGUAAAUCCGUUAACUCAUCAAAUUGACGAAUCUUAAGAGAUGUAAGAAUAGUGGCAUUCAUCAUCAAAGAUUUGAGUAAAGUAACAUUAAUGCCUCCAAUUUCUAGGUUUUCAAGACAUUGAAGCAUUGGCAUCUUAACCAACUUGGGACAAUAUUCGAUAGUUAACGAACUUAAGAGAGGAAACUGUUCUCUUCCUCCAAACAUGGUGCCAUACCUAUUUCGAGAACCUUGAGUGAUGGAAAAGAACUUUCCAUAUCUCCAUAGAAGUUGCUGUCAAUAUACUUCAGAGCACCCAUUCCCUUAAUAGUAAGGACUUCGAGGAAGCGUAAUUUCCCUGGAGGUGGAAGUUGAUGGCAUCUUUCACAGUUUGCUAGUGAGAUUUCAACAAGGUUUGGUAGAAGCAAAUCCAUCAUCCAAUAUGGAAACCUAACACCUUGGUAAGCAUCUACGCAUAACUUCUUCAAGCUUGGAUGAGGUCGAAGAACAUCAAGAAUCUCUUCAUCAUUUCCACGUUGAGAUCUUUCCCCAUUAUUUACUCGCCAAGAUAAGCUUAAUGAUCUCAAAUUUUGCUUCUUUAUCAAAUUGGCAUUUUUAGCAUCUGUUGAGCUCUUUACGUCGUGAAGUCUUCUGAUGCUCAAUUCCCCCUCCAGGGCCAACUCUUUCAACUCAUCAAUGCCUCCACAACCAAUGUCCUUUCCCACAACAAACAAGCUGAGCUUACGCAAGCACGACAGUUGUCCCAAUCCAACAGGCAUAGAUGCCAGUGAAAUACACUCUCUGAGGUCCAAGUACCUAAGGUUUUUCAAGUGCUUCAUACCUUUUGGUAACAUUUCAAGAUUAUAACACCGUUGGAGAUUUAGUGUCUGCAAGUUAUGAAGGGAGCUUGUUGCUUCAGGUAGAGUUUUCAUAUUAUUAUCAUCAUGAAAGCGUAAAUACCUUAGCUGUUUCAAACUUCCAAAUGCAAUACUGCUAAAACCAUAACCAAAAUCCAACACCUUCAGAUGCUUUUGUUUACUGAUGAAAUGGGAAGGAUUAGAGAGGUUAUCGAUAAAGUCGAACCCGCGACCAACUAUUAAAGAACGCAAUCGUUGCAGUCUGGAUAAGUCCAUAAAGUUUGUUGACGAACUGAUUUUAUGAACAAACAAGUGACGAGCAGUUUUUGGUAUUUUCGACCUCUCAUUAAGAUCAAUUGCGUAGCAUUCAUGACCCGUUCUUGAUGUUGAAAUGCCAUGGAUUAAAUCAUGCAUUUUACAUGUAACAGUUCCAUCAACAUCCUCUUUGAUCUCUUGGAAAAAGGACCUUCGAGUCAAUUCAGAGAAUAUUUCACUACCCAUAUCAUGCAAAUCCAACUGUCCCCGAGAAGGAAUAAAUCCAUUUGCCAUCCAUAGUCCUAUCAGCUCGUCCUUUUCCAUGACAGAAUCCUUAGGAAAUAUUGAGCAAAAUGAAAAGCAUUGUUUCAUAUAUGGUGGAAGAUGCUCAUAACUCAACCUCAACACAGCCAAGAUUCUUUUUCCCUCAUCCUCCAAACCCGAUAUCUCGCUAUCUUUGACACGUAACCAUUCACUUUCUUGACUUUUGGAACGUAGUAUGCUUCCUAUGGCCGCAAUUGCCAAUGGUACCCCUCCGCAUCUCUGCACAAUCUGCCUCCCAAUCAUUUCCAGGUUGACAUUACCCUCAUUCAUUCCCAUUACAAAAGCUCUUUGCUUGAACAAGGACCAAGAUUCAUCAUCUGAAAAACAUCCCAGGCGUUGGAAAGGAUCUGUAGCCAUCAUAAGAGCCACUUUCUCAAGUCGAGUUGUGACAAUGAUUGUACUUCCUCUUCGUCCACUCCGUAGCACUUGCUUCAGCCUAACCCACUUGUCACGGUAUUCAUUCCACACAUCAUCCAAUACAAGCAAAAAUCGUUUCCCAACAAGCUUUUCUCCUAAGUGCCGCUGCAGGGGAUCUAACUCUUGGAUAUCGCAUAACUUCCCUUCAAUGGAUUCCACAAUAGUUUUAGUCAACCGUUUUAUAUCAGAAUCAUCUUGUUCAGAGAUUUAAAUUGCGGUCGCGGUCGCGGACAUAACGAACGCUAUUGCGGUCACUGCGGGUAUCGCGGUCGUGAAUUUUUUUAAAAUUCGCACAACUUAUUGUAAAACAUAGUAAUUAUAAUUAUAAUUAUAAAAAAUCACUUUUAAUGAUUUUUAGAGUGUUUUCUAACACUUAUGAUCUUUUAUUAAUAUGAUAUGAGAACACAACUUUUAUAAUCAUUAAUUAUUCUUACAUUUAUUUACAAAUUUUAUAAGAAUAUUAUAUUAACUAAUAACAAAGUAAAAAAGAGAGAGGAAAUAUUAAACAUUUAUCAUAUUUAAUAAGUUUAAAAGUUUUUAUAGAUAAAACAAUUGAAAAUUCAUACCUGAGAGAUGUCUUCAAUAUUUCUUGACAGUUUUGAAGAUGGUGAAGAUAUAAACAUUGUAUGUUGCAAAAGGAAAAAAAGAAUAGAAAAAUGUAUAGAUUUUCAUUAAUUAUUCCUAUUUUCUACCACUUAUUCUCACUCUCAUUUUACUUUCAUAUAUAAUUUAACAUGCUUCGAUUUUUAAUUAUCUUUUCAUAAAAUAUACUCCAUUCAUUUAUCUAAAGAUAUAUAUUAUUUUAAAUGUUUUAAUAUAAUCAAAAUUAAGAACAAUAACAAAAGUUUUCUUUAAAAAAAACAUACCUUACAAAUAAUGAUAGUGAUACGAUUUAGUUUUCACCAAUUAGUCGAAUGACGAGGAAGAUCAAAUCCUUCACCUUCACUUUGGGAGUGUUCUUGACUUGAUUCUCUUGGCCUUUGUCCAAAAAUAUAUCCAAAAAAAGUAACAUUUUCACCUUGGUUUUCAUUUAAUUGAUAUGGAGGAUAUAUUUGAGGAGGAGGAUACAUGAGAAGUGGAGGUGGGUGAUACAUUGGUGGAGGAGAAUACAUUUGAGGCUGGUAUGGCACACCAUAAUUAGGAAAUGGUGGAUAAUAAUCAUAUGGUUGUGGAUAACCAUGUGAAGGUUGAAAAUAUGAAGGUUGUUCUGGUGGAUAAAAACCUUGAGUGCUAGUAGAUGAAUCACUAUACCCAAUGUUACUAGAACUCGAUCUUCUACCAGAUGAAGAGCCUAUAGAAGUAUGCUUCUUGCCUUUUCCCUUUGAUGGAGCUCUAGGUUCACUUCUAUCUCUCAUAGGUUCAGGAAACAUAUUUCCAUCAAACUCUGAUCUGUCACGAAAAUGUCCACCAGUGGUACCAACCCCAUAUUCUCCUCCAUACUGACUAGAAGACCUAAUUUCACCUCUAUCACCACUAUAUCCAUCAUCCUUAUCAAUUGGACUUAAGCCACCACCAUCGGGUCCAUCGCCACUCUGACUUGGAGUUGAACUAGAACUUGAAUGAGACAAAAUUUGUUGUUGAGAUUGAUCAACAUCCAUUUCAUCAUCAGAGGUAUCCACAGGCAACACAUCGGCAUUUUCACCAUCUAACAAUGGAUACUCUUUCUCAUGAAGCCAUUCUGAUAGUGAAUCAACAUCUUCAAAGAUAUGAUCAAGGCUGAUAGGAUUAAAACUAACAUUUAUAUCAUUAGUGCUCAUUCUUUUUUGAUGCCUCAUCUUAAGCCUCAUAUUAUAAUAGGUAAACACUAGUUUUUCAAGUUUUUUAUACUUUAACCUAUUUCUUGCCUUGGUGUGAAUAUAGCUAAAUGUACUCCAAUUUCGUUUGCAAUUUGAUGCUGAAGUUGUUUGACUAAGGACUUUAAUUACUAAUUUUUGUAAUUCGGGAACACAUGUGUCGUAUAUUAUCCACCACUCAGCUGCGUAAUAUUAUUUAAAUUUCAAAAUAACUUCAAAAUGUACAAUAUAAUUAAAUAAUAUAAUAUAAAUUAAAUAAUUUAAUUAACUGUUUACCCGGAUUCAUUUGCUUCCAAGCUCUUUGUGCCUGUGGAGUACCGAAUGUCUCAUGUUUAUCUCUAAAUAGUAACAACUGCAUAAAUAAAAGAUAGAGUAAAAAUAAAAAUAAAAAUUCUAUUUCAAAUUAUGUAACUAAGUUACAAAUAAUAUAGUACUUGAAUCUAACCUGGUUAACCAUUCUGACUUAGUAUCAAGAGAAGGUUCUAAUCUUUCAAUUACAGAUCUUGUACAUUCUAAUGUUUCUAUUAGUACAUUCUCAGAAUGCUCCACCCCAAAUUGAAAUUGAGGAUUGAGAAAAUAACCUAAGUAUAGUUUAUAAGAAUAUCAUCAAAUAAUAAUCUAAAGCUUAAAAUAAUAAAAUAUAAAAAUAGUUCUUAAUUAUAUGAAACAUUUUAUCUUACCAACUGAAUGCAAGUCGGAAUGCAUAAAAUUCCAUCUAUUGUCAAUAAUCUUUUCAUACUCUGUGAAAUAUCGACAAUCUUGUUGAAUUGCUCGUUUAGCUCUAUCAACAGCCUCAUAAAUAAAGCCCAUCGUUGGUUUUUCAUCGCUAUCCACCAGUCUCAAUACUUUUACUAAUGGCUCGUAAACUUUUAUGAGGUCAUUGGCUUUUUUCCAAAAAUCUUUUCCCAAAACAAUUUUUUUGGCUUCAUAAGCUGGCCCUGACUUUUGCUGUCCCCACUUUGAUUCUUUAAAUUCCUAUAUAUUCAUAAGAAAUAUUUUAAAAUAAUAUAAUUUAAAUUAUUUGGAACUAAUAAAAUCACUAAAGGUUGCUAGAUUUAAGUAAUUAUAUUAACUAAUUAUAAAAUACUGACCUUUGAAUUAAACAUUUCUCUCAGACCUUACUUUUGUCUUGUUAUCUCUUCAAGUUGAAUGAAAUGAGUUGCAAAUCGAGUAAGAGCGGGUAGAAGUAUUUGUUUCCCUUGUGUAUACUUGUUCAUCAAAUCAACAGUCCAAAUGUGAUUGUAUAUAAAGCAAGUCACUUUCUUUGCCUCAUCUAACACUUUUGCUACACUGGGCUUUUUCCCAAUAUCUUCAAGGCAUAAAUCUAAACAGUGAGCUGCACAUGAGGUCCAAUAUAGAUGUUUUCUUUUCAACAUUAAAUUUUUUCCAGUAGCUUUCAUUGCUGCCUCAUUAUCAGUCACUAUUUGGACAAUGUAAUUUUCUCCAAUUUCUUCUACAACUGAAUCUAACAAACAGUAGUAGAAUUUAGCAUCUCUACUACGGACACUUGAGACAUCUACUGAUUUCCAAAAAAUGGUUCCUUUACUGCAAUAAAUAAGGAAAUUAAUGAUGUGCAUUUGAUUCAAACUGUUGGUCCAACCAUCACACAUUAGAGUUGCACCCAAAUCUUUCCAAUGAGUCUUUAGUCCAUUUACCCAAUCACGAACUCGUUGAUACUCUGACUCCAAAUACACAUCUUAAACCUCAUAAGGUGUUGGUAGCUUUACACCUUGUCCAACUUCUGUUGACACUUGAAUUAAGUUAUACAACCAUGGAGAGCUUGCUAAUUGAAAAAGAAGUCUUUCAUAUAUUAAAAAUUUAGAUACCGCUUCACCUAUCUUCCUUCGAAAACUCUUUAAAAAGGAGUUAUUGACCUUUGGUUGCUUUGAACUUUUGCUUCUAACCAAUUUAGGUAUAGCUCCCCUUAAGGUAAACUCAGACUCACUUGGGAUGGAUUUACUUGUUCUUUCUCUAUGAUAUUCUCUAGCUAAUCCUUGAGAAGAUUGCCCUUCUUAUAAAUGUUAUCCCAAGCACCAGUACUUCGUCUGAAUUCUUCCCUUCUAUGCCACUCAUGUUGUGAUUGGAUACUUUCUCGAGUUGCUUGCCUUAUAGCAGAAACCUCAUCAACGAAUUCCUCGUGUUCAUCCUCCUCUUCUCUCAAUUGAGAUAAGAAUUCAUCUUUUCUCCUCUUUUUGUCUACUUUCUUUGUGUUUCCUUCUUUCAGCAAAUUCAUCAUACUUUUUCUAAUGACACCUGUUAAUAAAAUAAAAAUAAUUCACGUUUUAUAUUAUUAUCAAUUAUAUAUAAUCUUUAUUGAUAAAUUUACAAUAACAUUUAAAAAUAAUAAUAAAGUAUCACAUACUAGUAACAUUAGGGCAUGGUGCAACAUUGCCGGUUUUAUGAACAAUGUGCUCUUUAAAUCGUGUUAUUCCUCCUUUCACAACUUUACCACAAAGUUUACGUACGAUAUUUCCUUUCGCAUUUGGCACUGGAGUUCCAAAGUGCCAACCUAUAUCAUUACUUGGUGCACCCUCCAAUCCUUUAGUCGGGAACUCUUCACGUGGUGGCAUGCUUUAUUUUUAUUUAUAUAUAAGAAACAUAAAAAUAUAUUUAGAAAUAUAAGCAACUCAUUUCUUAUAUUAUCAACAAUAUAGUACAAAAAAAGUAAAUAUCAUUAACAAGAACAAUUUAAAUUUAUUGUAUAAUCCAUACAUUAUUUCUUUAUUUUUUUUAAAAAAACAACAAUACACUAUAACCCAUUAUUACUUGGUUCCAAAGUUUUUUGUAUAAAUAGUUUGUUUUGUUCCAUCUUAAUAAAAUUUAAAUUCAAAUUGGACCAAAUUUAAAAAUUCAAAAUUUUCUUAUUAUGCAAACUAAAUUAUAUUUAGAAAUCUUUUUUUUUUUAACUUUCUUAAGUUAAAUCUAAAGUUUUUUUUUCUUUAUUGUGUUAAUUUUGCUAAUAAAUGAGAAGCCUUUCUAAAGCUUCUUCUUCUUCUUUUUUUGUUUUUUCUCUCUCUCUAAUAUGAGAGUAUAAAUAUUUGGGUCAAUGCAAGAUUCUUCUUUAAAUUUUUGGGUUCUUUCAUUUAUAAAUAUUUGGGUCAUGCAAGAUUUUUCUUUAAAUUUUUGGGCUCUUUCAUUUAUAAAUAUUUGGGUCAUGCAAUAUUCCUCUUUAAAUUUUUGGACUAUUUCAUUUAUUGUUUCUAAAUAAAAUGAAUGUUUUUUUUUCUCUUUUUCUUAGAUAUGUUUUACUUUUUUUAUUUACUUGUCAUAUUUAACUAUAAAUUUCAUUGGAAAUUUAACUAUAAAGUACAUUUAUAUUUACUCAAGGGACUUAAGGGGAAAAUUAACUAUAAAGUACAUGUCUUAUUAAAAAUUGUGUCCAGAAAUUUAUAUAUGCAUUUUUAAAUUUAAUAAAGAAAUUUUCUAAUAAUUAUUUUAAGACAAUUUUUAACAAUUGACAGGUGGAUAAAAGCACAAUUUACAUGCCUAUUUUCUAGUGGUUAAAAUGGACGGUGGCUGCCCCUAAUUAAUGAGAUGGUGGCUGCCCCUAAUUAAUGAGUAAAACAAGAGUCAAAGAAGAAACAAAACAGAGCAGCUUAGCAGCAUGCCAAUUGCCAAAUCAAUAAAGCCACAAUCCAAAACAAAAAACAGAAAAAAUAAAAGAAAAUGAAACGAUUCUUUUCUUUCUAAUCUAUUCCCUAAUCCUAACAAGUAACACCCUAACCAGUAGCCUCCAAAGCUCCAAAAGCCUCCAACUCAUCUCAACAAAAAUGGCCGAAUCUUUAUCUCUACUGCUGUUGAAACUUCAAACUUCAAAUGGUGUCCUCAAUAGUCAAUUCUAAAGAACAUAUUUGCACUGCACUGCAGAUUCAAGACAAACAAGCACAAAUCAAGACAAAAUUUCAGGUACUACUUACUUGAAAAUUAUUGAUCUCUGAAGUCUGACAACGCGUUUGGUUGGGGGAAUGCAUGCGUAUUCCCCCUAUGCAGCGGGCACUACUAAAUGGCCGUUUGGUUCGCUGUAACCCCAUUUCGCAUGUAAUCGUUUAUGCCUCUAUGCAUUUAUGAAGCGUAAUAGGUAUUACGCCCCCUCAUCCCCGAUUGCCUAAUCCGUGUUUUCCCUUUUUCUGCUAUUCCAUUUUUUGCCCUCGUCCUCAACAUUCUGACCGACACCUCCUUGCACAGGUAAUUUCUUUUCCCUUCCACUCAGUCCGUCAUCGAUUUAAGUUUAGGGUUUCUUUGAUUUUCUUCAUUUUAUCAAGAAGGGGGAACUGAUUUGCUGUUUUAUUUUCACUAUUCACUAACCUAAAUCGAUUUCCCUUUUCUCAUUUCAGACAUCUUCUUCAUCUCACUCUUCCCCGAUUUGCAUUCAACCAGUUAGUUUUCUAGAGGUUUUUCCAAAGUUUGUAUUGCAUGUUCGAUUGAAAGACAUAAUUUUAGGGCUAAAUAGUUUUAUUACAGAGAAUUGAAGAAAAAAAUUGAAAUAAUUGUAAUCUUUAUUUCGGUUCUUGCCUGUAUUGCAUUAUUUGUUUUAGUUAAUCGAUUUCCCUUUUCUCAUUACAGGUUGUUGUUCAUCGCACUCUUCCCCGAUUUCCCUGGUUACAGGUUAGUUUUCCAGAGUAUCAAAUUCUUUGUUUUUGUUAUGUCUUGGUCUGUUUGGAACUUUCAACUAUAUUUACGCCCCCAUUACUACUUCCAAACCCCAAAUAAUCUCUAAUAAUGAAGUAAAGCCGGUUAAGCUGAAGUGGUAACAACAAAAAGAAGAGUGAAAAUAAAAUUUUAAUUUUCUUUUAAUUGAAGAUAUCCUCCCCAAGUAAAACUCCUCUGCGAUUUGUGAGGAGAAACUUGAGGGGACGAAUCUGCUCUCCCUUGCUAUUGCUACUUAACUGCUUUCGAUCUUUUGUUUUUGUUCUUUGGCAUGCUAAUGAGGUUUAUGAUUGUUUAGAAUUAGACAUAUAUGAUUGUUUAGAAGUAGAGGCAUAGUUUUUAAUAGAACUUAGACCAGAAGCUGUCAUUAGCUCUCCAAAGGCUCUGAAAUCUGAAAUCAAAUUCCAAACAAAUAUUAUUUACGUAAUUUUAGUUGUUGUUGCGUCUUGGUUUGUUUGGUCUAUUUAUAUUUUGUUGUUAGUAAUGCUCUGCUCUUUUGGCUAGAUUUUGUUCAGUUUGCUUAGCUUAGGUGGAAUGGUGUUGGGUUUGAUAGAUAUCUUACAUCUGAUACAUGGAAGAUUGCUGUUUCUUUUCCUUUCUUAUGUAAUCAAAGUUAAUAAGCUUCUACUUUAUUGAUGUUUAUACCUUGUGCGCUUCGUGAAUUCUGGUUUAACCUCUAAAAUCUGCUUCUAAAAUUGUGUCUUGUGCUAAACUUCUUCUAAAAUCAGAGUCUGAUGUUUAUACCUUGUGCAUUUCGGAUUCCAAAACUUUUGAACGCCAGGCUUAACUGUAGACUUGAGGUAGUGAGCAAUUACGGCUUUGUUUUCUAAGUUAGCUUAAUGACUGAUCCAGACUUGUGAAUUGCCAUUUAAAUUCAGACAGUUUUGUGAUACUCUGCUGUUGUUUGAAAGAGUUUACAAUGGAAAAUGUUGUUAGUGUUGUUUUUUCAAUUCAGAUAUUAGCUUCUUGUUGUUAGUGACUAGAAGAUGAAACUGGAAAUUGUUGCGUCUGUUUUGAUAUUGUUCUUGAUAUGUUCUAGUUCCUGCUUGUUUUGGGGAUUAUUAAUUGCAAGUAUGGUAGGAUGUAGUUCUGUUAUUCUUUAGAUUUUGAAAUGAAAUGAUGUAAAUGAGUUACUUGAGCUAGAGGUAGAUAUUCGAUUAAGGGUUAAUUAUGUUGUUUUCUAUUAAAGACUCAAAUAAUUAUUGAAUUAUUUUACAAGGAUUUUUUUAGAUAAUAAGCUCUCUGUUUUUAAAUUUGUAUCAACAAUCAAAUUUCAAUUUUGAUGCUUAUAUGAUGUCCAAAUUUAAGAUUAAAUCUUUAUAUUUUAAUUUUUAAUAUAAUUUGGUACAUCAAUAUUAGCCUAGAUACUUUAACCGAUUAAAAUGCUAACGCAAAUUUUUAUACUUGAUAAUAAUAUUCAAAUUUCUUAUUUAAUUAGAAUUGAUUAUAAUAUUAUUUUCAAAGAAAUUAUCAAAUUAUAAAAUAACACUCAAUUGACAUAAUUAUUCAUAAAGAGUUUAUUCCUUUUCAAAUGUGUAUAAUGUUAAUUACUCAUGUUUUUGUUGCAUCAACUGAGAAAAUGUUCUCAAAAUUAAAAUUGAUAAAAUCUUACUGAAGAUUAACAAUAUCUCAACAAAAAUUAAAUGAAUUAGCUAUUUUAUUAAUUGAAAAAGAUAUCUUAAUUGAGAUUUAUUAUAAUAAUUUUGCAUCUCUAAAGUCUAAAAAAUAAAUUUUAAAUAAACAUUUAUAAUGUUUAUUUAAUAGUUAGUUAACUAAUUUGAAGGUCUAAUUUUACAGUUUCCCUUUUUAAGUUUUUAGAAAUGUUGAGACACAUUAGGUAAAUAUAUUAACAAUUUAAGUUUUGAUAAUGUGUAAUUGCAACUUCAGGGGAUUGAUACUGAGUUCUAAUUUUAAUAUGUUGCAGUAAUGGCUCGUCUGCCUUUAAUUGCACAAAGUGUGAGGCGUAAAAGAAUUGGUGUUGCAUUGACAAUAUGGUUGGAAAUCUGUAGAAUUGCGAUUUGGUUCUUAUUUAGAAUGGGUGCCAGCCUUAGCCUACAUACUUAUAGACCAAGGAUUAGGUCUUAUACCUUAGAUUUUUAUGCAAAACGGGAUUAUGUGAAAAGGCUUGUAUAUGCUAGUGACGAGACCUGUAUUGAACUAGUUAGGAUGAAUAGAACUACCUUUUUUAAACUAUGUCAGAUGUUAGAAUCGUUAGGGGAUUGAAGUCGUCAAGAAAUAUGCUUGUUGAUGAGCAAGUGGCAAUGUUUUUACAUAUCAUCUCCCAUCACCUAAAAAAUUGAGUUAUCAAGCAUCACUUUACUAGAUCCGGGGAAACAGUUAGCAGAUCAUUUCAUAGUGUUUUAAAUGCUGUCAUACGCUUACAAGAUGUGUUAUUUGAAAAGCCAGAGCCAAUUACAGCUAAUUCUUCUGACACAAGGUGGAAAUGGUUUAAGGUAUUGGACUGAGUUGUAUAUAUAGCUUGUACAACAUUUAGUUGAUUUAGAUUUAAAUUUAGCAUUCUAACUCAAGGUUUUAUAUCAUGUGGUAUAGAAUUGCUUAGGUGCUCUUGAUGGAACCCACAUCAAGAUUAGGGUUCCAACAGUUGAUAAACCUAGAUAUCGAACGCGAAAAGGUGACAUAGCAACAAAUAUGCUAGGUGUUUGCACACCUGAUAUGCAAUUUGUUUAUGUUCUUCCUGGUUGGGAAGGUUCUGUUGCUGAUGGACGGGUUCUUCGAGAUGCCAUUAGUAGGAGACAUGGACUAAAAGUUCCUCAUGGUAAAAUGGAUUGUUAUAGGACUUUGAAUUAUUCAUUAAGAUCAAACUUUUUGUGCUGAAUUAAUCAUUUAAAAAAUUUAUAGGUUGUUAUUAUCUAGUUGAUGCCGGAUACACAAAUUGUGAGGGAUUUCUUGCACCUUUUAGAAGACAACGAUAUCAUUUGAACGAGUGGCGUCAGGGUUAUCAACCAAGUUCUCCGCAAGAGUUUUUUAAUAUGAAACAUGCCUCAGCACGUAAUGUUAUUGAAAGAUGCUUUGCGUUAUUAAAAGUUAGAUGGGGAAUACUUAGGAGCCCAUCAUUCUAUCCUAUAAGGGUGCAUAAUAGAAUUAUUAUUGCAUGUUGUUUGCUCCAUAAUUUUAUUCGAACCCAUAUGAGUAUUGAUCCUAUUGAAGCGGAUGUGGGAGAAAGAUUACCUAGUAAUGUGGUGGAUGACGAUGAACCGAAUAUCGCAAAUAUUCAUCCAUCGGAUGCUUGGGCUACUUGGAGGAUGGAACUAGCCAACCAAAUGUUCAAUGAAUGGCAAGCAUUUAGAAAUUAGUUAGGUUUAGGGACAAAUUGAGUUUGACUUAAUUUGUUGAUGUUAUUUUAUGUAUCUAGUUUGUGAAACUUUGGUGGUGUUUGAAUUGAUUUCUGUAUUGUACUAAACUUGUUGAAUUAUAAUUUAAUUUCUUUUCAUUCAGCAUAUGUUAUAAUUUUAAAUUUUAGUAUUGAGCUUUUGAUUCAUGAUAUUGAACUAACGAUAUAAUUUUAUAAUCUGUUCACCUUUUGAUUCAUGAUAUUAAAAAUAGUAAAUAAUGUUAAUUUGUUUUUUUUUCUUAAGAUAAUUAUGUCAGGUGUUCCACAAUCACAUACUUCUUCUUAAGCUUCUCGAGGAACCAAAAGAAAAUGGGUUCCAGAAGAAGAUGCAACCUUGGUUUCUUGCAUGGUGGACUUGCACAAUGUUGGAACAUUUAAUGCUGAUACCAGGUUCAAAGCCAGUUAUUUAAAUGAGUUGGAAAAAAUGCUAGAAAAGGCUUUACCAAAUGCAAUGUUGAAGGCGAAACCAAAUAUUGAAUCAAGGAUUAGGUUACUAAAAAGGGAAUGGUCAAUCGUCUAUGACAUGCUUAAUGGCCAAAACAAUAACGAUUUUGAUUGGGACGAGCAUAGGCAGCUCGUUGUUGCUGAAGAUGCAGUUUGGGACUCCUAUUUAAAGGUAAAAUGUAUUUCAAGUCUUUAUUAUCUUAUUUUUACCAAACUUAUAACUAAUAUGAUUUCCUCAUUUUUUUUAGAGUCACAAAGAAGCCGCUCAAUUCAAACAUCGUACUUUCCCUUACUACAACCAACUUACUACCAUAUAUGCAAGAGAUCGAGCGACUGGGAAAGAUGCUCAAACAGCUGCUGAUGUUCUUGAAGAAAUAAAUGCUGAGGAUCUACCUACUACAGAUAUGAAUGAAGAGAGAAACACAUUCUAUGUCUGCGAAUCUGACAUCUCUUUGGACGACAUGAAUGUUUCUGGUACGAAGUCGCGAGGAGAUAGAGACCAAAGGGGUUCCUCAUCUUCAAACAAGAAAAAGAAGAAAUAUGAUGCUCGUGAUAAUAUGUCUUCUUAAUUUAAUGAGGCUGCCACUUGAUUGGCCAAAAACAUGUGGGCCAUGGGCGAUCAAAUCAGUAGGAGUAUUGCCUCCGAUGUGAUAGUUCAGCAGAAGUCUGAAGAAUUCCAGAUCAUCCAAGAGAAAGCUACAAAUUUAUAUUCAACCUUAUGGGAAACUGAAGGUUUAACCGAUGAUAAGCGGUAUCGAGCUUUGAGUAAAAUUCCAGAUCAUCCAACUCAAAUGCUCGUUUUGUUAGUUUACCUUCUGCUGCGCGAAUGGAAUGGGUCAGAAGAUUUCUUUCUAACCAUUAAAAAUCAAUGUUUAAACUUUUUGAUGUUGUAAAACUAUAUAACAUAUGUAUUAUGUUGUAGAAUUUUAUUUUCUUCUAACAUUUUCUUAAUAUAAGUUAAUUAUGUUUAUGCAGAAUAUAAUUCUCAAGUUAUAUUAUGAUUUUAGUAAAUUCAUAUAAGAAUAUUUAUUAUUAAAAAUUUUAUGAAUUAUAUAUCAUUAUUAAAUAAUAUUUAAUAUUAAUUAUUUUAAAUUAUAAAUUCAUAUAAGAAACUUUAUUAUCAAGAAUUUUAUGAAAUUAUAUAUCAUUAUUAAAUUAUAUUUAAUAUUAAUUAUUUUAAAUUAUAUAAAUUCAUAUAAGAAAAUUUAUUAUCAAGAAUUUUGAACGAGUAUAUAUCAUUAUUAAAUUAUAUUUAAUAUUAAUUAUUUUAAAUAUAAAUUCAUAUAACAAAAUUUAUUAUCAAGAAUUUAUGAAAUUAUAUAUUAUUAAAUUAUAUUUAAUAUUAAUUAUUUUAAAUUAUAUAAAUUCAUAUAACAAAGUUUAUUAUCAAGAAUUUUAUGAAAUUAUAUAUCAUUAUUAAUUAUAUUUAAUAUUAAUUAUUUUAAAUUAUAUAAAUUCAUAUAACAAAAUUUAUUAUCAAGAAUUUGAUGAAGUUAUAUUAUUAUUAAAUUAUAUUUAAUAAUAAUUAUAUUAAAUUAUACAAAUUCAUAUAAUUAAAUUAUAUUUAAUAAUAAUUAUUAUUUAAAAUUUUAUUAAAUCAUAUAUUUUAAUUAAAAUAUAUUUAAUAAUAAUUAUUUCAAAUUAUAUUUUAUACUAUCAUAUAUUAUGAUUUUAGGAAAUUCAUAUAAUAAUAUUGAUUAUUAAGAAUUUUAUUAAAUCAUAUAUUUUAAUUAAAAUAUAUUUAAUAAUAAUUAUCUUAAAUUAUAUUUUAUGGUAUCAUAUAUUAUGAUUUGAGUAAAUUCAUAUAACAAUAUUGAUUAUUAAUAAUUUUAUUAAAUUAUAUAUUUUAAUUAAAAUAUAUUUAAUAAUAAUUAUGUUAAAAUAUGAUUAAAUUAUUUAUUACUGAUUUGAAUAAUCUUAUUAAAAUUUAAUAACAAUAACAAUAAUCAUUUAUCUAAACAAAUUUCUGCUAAGGGCAUUUUAGUCAUUCUAGUUUUUUUCCUUAUGCUAUUACACCUCCAUUCCAUUCAACCAAACACAAGAAUACUAUUACGCAUCUAUUCCAUUACAUUUAACCAAACAAUUGAUUUGCUAUCACGCCUCUAUUCCAUUACGCCUCUAUUCCAAUACAGCGAACCAAACGUGCUGUGAAUGUGCAAGUGAUUAGGGCAGGCCGGCAGGGUUUGCUUUUCAGAUUCAAGUCCUCGGCAGUCGGCUCCUCCUUGCUUUCAUCUGCUGCUUGUUGUUUGCCCAUAUAUAAGAAACAGAACUUCAUAUUUCUUUUUCUAUUGCUUUUUUAAAACUUUUGAUUACUUUUUUCUGUUUUUUUGACUUCUUUUUACUUUUUUUGAUUGAAAGUUCUCUGAUUUUGCACUUUGUAGGUAGGGGAAUAUAUUCCCUUUUGUUUUUCACUGUUUUUGUUGAUAUUUUUGUUUGAGGGGAUGACUUUUUUUAAUUUACUGUAACGGAAAAUAACGGGAAUAGCGGCCCGUUAUUGCCGCAUUUGGCCGUUACCUGUUAAAUUGCGGCUGCGACCCACCGUUAUUGGCGUGACUCCGCUUCACACUGCUAUUUUCAGUAAAAGCGGUUUCGGACGGUGCCGCUAUCGCUAUAUAACGGCUGCUAUUCUGAUAUCGGACCGCUAUUUGAAUCCCUGGUCUUGUUGACUCCAUUUUUUUGAUAAAAUGGGGUCGACUUGGGUUUUUUUUUAAAAAUGAACAUGAAUACGGGAGUCGCCACCGAUCAUUUUUAUGAGGUGUGAUCGGGUCACCUUGAAGAGUGGUUGUUUUUAAUAAAUGAUUUAAUUUAUCAAAACAACGAUUUUGGUCCACGAAAUUUAGAAAGACAGGUUCCGGAGUCGGUUACAUAUGGGGAAGGAUUAGCACCCUCGUAACGCCCAAAAUUGGUACCUAGUUGAUUAAUUAAUGUCUUAGUGUCGAGAAUUGAAAACUCUUGAAGAGAUUAAAAAUACGAUCCUUUGUCAAAUGUUGAAACUUUUUCGAGAAAAGAGCAUAUUUCAUGUUAAUCGAGAAAGAGAAUUAUAUCCAGUAAGUUAGGACACAAUGUCUUGAAUUCUCGAUGCGCGAAUGAAUGCUAAAAACUUACUUAUUUAAAAAAUAUUUAGCUAUCUCGGAUUUUAAAAAAAGGAUCAUGCCCAGUAAGUUAGGACACGAUCUUUUAUUAAUUCCCGAGAUCGUUUAAAAACUUAAAUUUGAAAAGAUUCGUGUAUUUAGAUUUAUCGCGAAAAUCAAAACCCCGUAAGUUAGGGUACGACCUUCUCGAAUCUAAACACGAAAUUUUGCUUAUUCAAAAGUCAUAAUUUAAAAGGAUAUUUUGCUAUUUAGGUUAAAUGGGAAAUCGAACCCAGCACGUUAGGGCACGUUUUCUUCAAAUUUCCAAACGCAAAAUAUUGCCUUAUUUAGAGAUUUUUUUUAAUUUGGAUAAAAGGAAAUGAAAUGCUUAAAAAUGUACGUUUAAUUUAUUAGGUUUUUUAGAGAAAUCGUUUAAUACGUAAAAGGAGUUAUACGUGGCUAAAUACGAUAGUAUGAAAUAUAUUCAAGGCAACAAAUGCAUGAUAUCGCAUAAUAUGAAAACAUACGGGCAAUUUACUAAAAAAAGCCUAAUUUUUUUUAAAUUUACCGAAAUGGGUUCGGUAUUUUAUUAUUUACCGGAAUGGGUCAUUUUCCCCGAAAUCACGUCCACGUCAGCGCAAUGUCAGGGUACGUGCCAGCAAAUCACGGCCACGUCAGCGUGCUUUGCUGACAUGAUAACAAAUCACGCUUCAAAGGAAGCGAUUUGUGUCUACGUCAGCAAAUCGCGUUGACGUGGCCGCGAUUUGCCCCGCGUAUGAACAGUGUAACGGUCAAAAAAUUGACCGUUGCCCCCCCAACGGUAAAAAAAGAAAAAUAUAAAUACCCCCACCCUUUUUUUUUCACAAACUAAUCCUAUCUCAAAUUUCCUCUCAAUUUAUUCUAAAUUUUCUCUAAUUUGCUCUCAAAUUCCUUCAAAAUUUCUCUCAAAUCCAUAUUUAUUUUCAAUUUACUCUCAAGUUCCUCCUAAAUUUCUCUUAAAUCCCUAUUUUUAAAUAAUUUUAAAUUUUUCAUUUUUUAAAUUUUUUUUAAACCGUAAAAAUUUGUACGAUUUCAGCAAUGGCCGGAGAAUUGACUCGUCUUGAUAAGCAUCACAUAUCGGUGGAACAAAUGAAAAUGGUAAGCGUUAAAUUUAAUUUUUAAAUAUUAUUUAAGAAUUUUUUAUUUAUGUAUUUUUAGAUAAUUAUUAAUUUAUUAUUUGUUAUAAAAGUCUGUAGAUCGGAUAUUGGAAUGCAAUAUCCGGAAUAUGCAUGCUCCUCCAUCACCGUUGGUAGAGAACUACCUGCGGGAAGCGGGUUUUUGACUCGUGACGACGGUAGGUCGAGGAUGCAAGGUGGACCCGAAACUAAUUAGUGCGUUUUUCGAGAGGUAGAGACCCGAGACGCACACAUUCCAUUUUCCAUGUGGAGAGUGCACUAUCACUUUGGAAUAUGUCAGUCUGCAAUUGGGAUUGCCGGUGGAUGGGUACUCAGUCACCGGGUCUGCCCAAUCUAGCGAUUGGCUUGCGAAGUGCUACGAGCUUUUGGGCGCUAUUCCGGAGAAAAUGGAGGGAGCUAAGAUCGAGAUGGGCUGGUUACGAGACACAUUUCCGGAUCCGGAUAAAGAUUCAACCGAAAUAGAAAGAAUACGAUAUGCUCGGGCAUACAUUCUUCAGUUAAUUGGAGGUUAUCUGAUGCCCGACUUGUCACGGAGCCGUGUACAUCUAAGAUGGCUGCUGAAACUCGUUAUUUUUAGAGCAGCUGGUGAAUUGAGUUGGGGGUCUGCCGUCUUGGCAAAGUUAUAUAAGGAGAUGUACGGGGCAACGCAACCGAGGAAAGCAAAAAUCGGAGGUUGCUUGUCCCUACUGUAGUCAUGGGCACGGUUUCGCUUUCCAUUUCUACGUCAUCGAGUGGACCACCCAUAUACAUUCCCACUGAUAAUGAGGUAAAUUUUAUAUUAGAUUUUACAAUUAUUAUGUAGAUUUUUAAAAAUAAAAGUAUGCUAAAAAUUUAUUUAAUUAGGUGAAACCAUCCGGCAAGUCAUGCUCGAUUACCUACCUCUCUUGAAGACAUACGACUUCUAUUAGACCAACAGUCGAAAACACAUGUAAGUAUUAAAUAAAAUUGAUAUUUCCAUCAUUCGCUAGUCGAUUGGUAUUUAGUAUUUAGUAUUAUGUAUAUAACUAACAUUUCUAUCAUGUUCAUAUAGUUUCAAUGGACACCAUACGAGGAUCCGGCAAUUCGGGCAAUAAUUUUGGAAGAAAUCUUACAAAAUCCAAAUGCUUGGUAGGCGAAAGUCGCGUUGAUCAACUACGCGACUGUGGAGAUGCACCAGUCAGAUAGGGUGUUACGGCAAUUUGGAUGUAGACAACCGAUUCCCGUGGAACUUGAGGUGUUUGACGAUCACCACAAAAUCGACCUUCGACAAUUGAAUAUGGAUUGGCUGAAAUUCUUGUCUGAGUACAUCCAAAUGUGGGAAGAUCAGUAUGACUAUAUACCUAGUAUGGAACCGAUCAUCGAUUCGGAGUUAGCGUGCGUGCCGGAAUACAUGCCAUGGUUUAGGAUCCAUGGCAAGUCGUAUUUACUAUCACCAGAGGAGAGGCAGCAGCAAUUACGUGUCCAAAGGGAAAGAUGCGAUCCUUUAAAUCCAAGACGACAGGACGACGACGUUGGCCCCUCAAUGAUGCCCAGACAUUCACCCGGCCCAACGAGAGCACCGAAACAUUCACCCGACCCAGCAGUUCAACCAAUGAUACCCACGCAACCGCCUUUUCAGAUGAUGCCGGGUGCAUUUCCUAGUCGUUUUAUGUAUCCUAAGCCUUAUAUUUUUCAUUUUUCGAGUCCUAUGACAGGUUGGAGCCAAUGGCCCGGUUCAGCUCCAAUUCCUGUUAUGCCGAGUGGACCGCCGAUAUAUAGGCCAGCGACGCACGAGGGAUCGCAAGAGGGGCCGUCGGGGAGCUUUUCUUUUCACCAAUCCCCACCACCGUAUGGGUUUCAAACACCGUCGCCGUUGGUGAUGCAAACACCUCCACAUUCACAAUUCUAUCAAGGUGGCUCAUCGUCCCAACUCCGACAACCAGAUGCCCUACUGGAAGAACCAGAAUCCCCACCGGAAGAACCACAAUCGCCGCCAGAAGCUGGACAAAUGAGGAAUCCAGCGCGUAACCAUCGACGGCCGCUAUGUGGCAUUGAAUCUCGCGGGCACAGACAUUGAUUUUUGUAUUUAAAUUUAUUUGUACAAAUAUUUUGACUAUUUUGAUAUUUUUUGAUGUAAUAAAAUAAAAAAUUUUUUGAGUUAUUACUUAAAAACCCUAAACCCUUAACUUAUUAAUAAUUUAGAAAUUUAUAAUUUAAAAUUAAAUGCAUAAUUUAAUUGACAAACCCUUAAACCCUUAACCCAAAAACCCUAACUCUUAACUUUAAAACCCUAAACCCUUAAGCUAAAAAUCAUAAACCCUUAAAUUAAAAACACUAACCUAUAAAUUCAAAACCUUAAACCUUUAAAUUAAAAACCCUAACCCUUAACCUGAAAACACUAACCCUUAACUUUUAAACCCUAGACUCUUAACUUAAAACCCUUAAACCCUUAACUUAAAAACACUAAUCCUUAAAUUAAUAACCCUUAACCCUUAACCAAAAAACCCUAACCCUUAACCUAAAAACCCUAAAUCUUAACUUUAAAACCCUAGACCCCUAACUUAAAAACCCUAAACCCUAACCUUUAACCUGAAAACCCUAAACCUUAACUUUAAAACACUAGACCCUUAACUUAAAAACCCUAAACUCUUAACUUAAAAACACUAACCCUUAACUUAAAAACCCUAAAGUCUUAACCUAAAAACCUUAACCCUUAACCUAAAAACCCUAAAUCUUAACUUUAAAACCUUAGACCCUUAACUUAAAAACCCUAAACCCUUAACUUAAAGCAUUAACCCUUAAAUUAAAAACCAUAAAACCUUAACCUAAAAACCCUAACCCUUAACCUAAAAACCCUAAACCUUAACUUUAAAACCCUAAACCCUUAACUUUAAAACCCUAAAUCCCUAAAUUAAAACCCUAACCUUUAACCUAAAAACCCUAAACCUUAACUUUAAAACCCUAGACCCUUAACCUAAAAACCCAAAACCCUUAACUUAAAAAUCCUAACCCUUAACUUAAAAACCCUAACCUUUAACCUAAAAACCCUAAACUUUAACUUUAAAACCCUAGACCCUUAAUUUAAAAACCCUAAACCCUUAACUUAAAAGCACUAACCCUUAAAUUAAAAACCCUAAACCCUUAACCUGAAAACCCUAAACCUUAACUUUAAAACCUUAAACCCUUAACUUAGAAACCCUAAACCAUUAACUUAAAAACUAUAACCCUUAAAUUAAAAACCCUAAACCCUUAACCUAAAAACCUUAAACCUUAACUUUAAAACCCUAGACCCUUAACUUAAAAAGCCUUAACUUAAAAACCCUAACCCUUAACUUAAAUAUAAUUUGACAAUUUUACUAACAUUAAUACAAUUAUCAGUUAAUAAUUUUAUAUUCACAUAAUGUUAGAUUUAGAAAAAUGUUUUGACUGGUACUAAAAAUUAAUAAUUUGAUUUAAUUUGAUAAUUUUACUAACAAUUAAUACAAUUAUCAGUUAAUAAUUGAAAAAAUAUAAUUUUUUAAAAUUACAUUCAACUAUUGCGAUUAGGGCAUGAUUGACUUGUAUGGCCUGGAUUCCUACACCAUCCGCACAACUUAUGUUGACUGGCUAUUUCUGGGAUAUCCAUAUUGUUAUGUAUUCUAGUCGAGUAAGGUCGACCCUUUGGUUUACGACACAAUUCUCUAUCCGGUAACAGCUUAAAAGGAGCAAGAGAUACGGGCGGCCACUUACGUUCAUCUGGGACCGGUGGGAAAACGUGUCUCCAGAUGUUGUACAUGUUUUCUAAUUUGUACACUUCGUCCACAUAACUUAUUGGAUCCAGACGGAGAUUCUGACCAGCUGCAAUAACAUGAGCGCAUGGAUAAUGAAGUGCAUCAAACAUCCCACAGUCGCAAGUCCUAUUUCGCAAGUGUACACGAUAUUGCCCACCAACAACACCUUGGUGCGGUCUGUCAAACUCUGUCAUGCGAAACCAUAAGUUGUCUCGAUCAUGACACAUUGUGUGCAUGGUGUUUGCCCGCGCCUUGGCCUCGUUAAUUUCUUGAACUUCCUUACUGCACCAUACAUGUCCUCCCUGCAUCUGGCCUGCAUAACUUGCUGCUCGCUUUGGAAAUAGCACCACCAAACGAAAAUAUAUCUCUCACACAACCGAUAUUAUCGGUAGAUGAUGCGUUCCUUUAAGAAUAGAAUGUAUGCAUUCAGCCAGGUUUGACGUCAUAUGGCCAUAUCGUAGGCCGUCGUCGUAUGCUUGUGCCCACUAUUCGAAACGCAUGUUACAAAGGUAGUCCGCCCUUUAUCUGUUAAUUGAACGUAAAGUUGCCAACAUCUCGUGAAAAUGAUCUUUAUUUAUUUCAUACCCUGCCAAUAUAAGUUCAUAGCGAAUAUUACAUACCACUUCUACCAAUAAAACUAAUUCAAAUUGAGAAAUUAAAUAACACAGAUAUAGGCUAAAUACCCAUGUCGGUCACUUAUCGUCGUUCGCUCUUAGAUGGAUAUUGCCUGUAGUAGUUGGAAGCAACGUGUCUUAGGCAAUAUUGAUGGUGUGUGUGCUACCAUAAGCUUCCCUAUCGAUCAAAUGCAGCUAGUAUACUGGCCCCUCGAUCUGAAAUAACACAUAUAUCAGGUUAGGGGCACACAUGCCUCCUUAACCUAGAGAGAAAGAAAUCCCAGUCAUCAGACAACUCCUCCGGUGUUAUUGCAAAUGCAAUUGGAAGAAUUCGCCCACCGCCAUCCUGUACCACUGCAAGAAAUAGCCGAUGAGUAUACCUACCAAACAUAAAGGUACCGUCAAUUUGUAUCAAUGGCUUGCAGUAUGGAAAUACGUCUCGGCAUUGUUUAAAGGUCCAAAACAGGCGUUUAAACACUUGGCAUCCACGUAGCAAUCGGCCAUUGUAGUACGCAUGUUUCGUUUCAAGGUCUGUGAUGGUACUUGGGACGUAUCUCUCUAGCACUUGACACCACUGCCAUAUUUCAUUAUAUGAGGCGUCCCACCCAUUAUGCAUCUUCUUCAACGCCUUUUGCUUAGCUAUCCAAGCCUUGCGGUAAGAGGGCGUGUACCCUAUUUGGCUACGGAUAUUGACAAUUAACACCGGAACUGAAGUCUUGGAUCUGCUUUUACUAUGGGCAGUAUCAAGCUAGCUAACAUAGCUGAAUCCAUCUUCGGAUGAUCUUGUGAAACACUUAUAAACGGAGUACAUUAAAUAAUGCAACAUUACAUAAUAAAAGUAUUAUUCAGAUACCGUUAAUACUGUACCUGCAGCACAUGUAUGUGGACCUUUGUACUUUUUAAUCUCCCACAACCCUGUCCUUUUCCUUAACGAAGCGUAGAUUUUCCAUGAACAUGUGCCAUCUUGCACCGUACACUUCGCCUCAAACUUAUCAGAUUUGGAUUUAACGACGUGGUAGUUAACGCCGUUUUUAAUGCUAUGUUGUUUCAAAGCACCAAUAAAACUAUCCUUGUUGGUAAAAUGAUUACCAACUUUAAAUUCACCCGAAUCUAGCCCUGAACUUGUAUGAUUACGUAACCGGUGUGGUAGAUCUAAAAACUCUAACGCAUCAUCUGCAGACAGAUCGACAUUAUUCAUGUGGGCUGGAGGUGAGUAUGCUCUGAAUCGUGGAUUUUCUUAUUCAUCUGAACUCUUUUCAACAUCUUCAAGUUCUGUUGGAAUAGGCUCCGGUUCAGAAAAUAAGCCAACUUCUGCACCAUCGGGCCCGGGCUCUCGAAGUGGAUCCAUAUUGGAGUCAUCUUCUAACCCACGAUCAUCUGCAGCGUAUGAGGUCCCCUCACCGGUUGACGUCGUAGGGAGUACAUCAUCCCUUCUUCUGGGCAUUUCAUAACGUCCCCUAUUGGAUGUAGGUUGCCAACCACUAGAACUUGAUGCCGUUCCCCAAUACUUAUUUCCAGCAUCAAACAUCGAGCCACCAACGUACAUGUCCCAUCCACCAACAGAGUAUCUUACGGGGGAUGUGCAUUCAACAUCGCUACCAAACAUAGGCUGUUCCGUGUUUUCUAACCCGCUUACCGAAUGUCGGCCAGGGGUCGUGUAUACAUCUCGAACACCGGUCAUAAGUACAUCAUUUGGCGAUAUAAAUUGUACAUAUAACUCAAUAUAAGGUGCUCCACUAGUAAGAUGAGUCUGCACCAUUGCCUUCAAGCUACGAGCACCUUUUAUGUUGAACGAGUCAUAUGUCACCAGAUCAACAGAGGAACAAAAUCGAUACGUAAUAGACAGAACUUUCAUUGGCGUCGUUCUGAAAAUUUUACGCCUAAUUCUUUUACGAAGUUUUGUCAAAUCUAUGUUCUGGUUAAAAACCAGUCGCACCGUAUUUUUCGACAAAGAAACAACACCAUUCUCGGUGUGGCAAACCUCACCAUCGUAGUAAAUAACAGCACUAAUACGUUUACUCAUAUUUGAAACUCUAACCUUUUUAGCCUCUCUAAAUUGUUUCUGCUGUGACUUAUGCAAUCUCAGAACAUUUUUUGCCUCAUUUAUAGCCUCAUCCCAAACAUGUUACUAUAGCAAAAGCGCGUCCACGUGGGCGCGAUUUCAUAAAUUCUUCUCAUAAAGCAUCCUGCUAGAAGCGAUUUUAUACUAUUUGUUCAGAAACGUCAAGUCGAAAUUAUUUUUCCAGGACCAGCUGUAGCAAAAGCGCGUCCACGAUGGCGCGAUUUCACAAAUUCUUCUCAAAUAGCAUGCUGCUUACAGCGUUGUUUUAUACCAUUUGCUCAGAAACGUCAACUCAAAAUUAUUUUUUCAGGACCUACUGUAGUAAAAGCGCGUCCACAUGGGCGCGACUUCACAAACUCUUCUUAUAAAUCAUUCUGCUUGAAGCGUUUUUAAACUAUUUGCUCAAAAACGUCAACUCGAAAUUAUUUCUUCCAGGACCAACUGUAGUAAAAGCGCGUCCACGAGGGCACGAUUUCACAAAUUCUUCUCACAAAGCAUCCUACUUGAAGCAUUUUUUAAACUAUUUGCUCAGAAACGUCAAGUCGAAAUUAUUUUUCCAGGACCUAUUGUAGCAAAAGUGCAUACAUGUGGGCGCAACUUCAAAAAUCCUUCUGAUAAAUCAUCCUGCUUUGAUUUUAUCUUAAAAACCCAUAAACAUGAAACGUAAUCCAAUUUUGAAUAAAUUUUAAUUAAUUUAAUUACGAAACCCUUAACCCUAAUCCCUUAUUUGUUUACUUUUUUCUCCAAAAACCCUAAAAAUCUUAAAAACCCUAACGUGGGAGACACAGCAAAAUCGCGUCCACGUCAGCGCGAUGUUAGUGUACGUGCCAGGAAAUCACGGCCACGUCAGCGCGCUUUGCUGAUGUGGACACAAAUCGCGCUUCAGAGGACGCGAUUUGUUGCCAUGUCAGCAAAGCGCACUGAUGUGGCUGCAAUUUCCUGGCACGUACCCUGACAUCGCACUGACGUGGACGUAAUUUCGGGGAAAAAGGCUCAUUCCGGUAAAUAAUAAAAUACUGGGCCCACUUCGGUAAAUUUUAAAAAAAUUGGCUUUUUUGGUAUUUUGCUCAAAACAUACGGUAUUGAUAGCUACGAAUCACAAUAUUAACAUACACAAACGAAGACAAUAAUAAGAGUACAAAUAAAAAUAUGGGGAACAAUAAUAAAGAGAAUAAUAACAAUAUAAAUAAUAAUAUGGAGAAUAAUAAGAGUGAUAUAGCAAAAAUAAGAGUAAUAAAUAACAAAACAAAUAAUCAAUAAUAAAUAAUAAACAAAACGUGAAAACAAAAUAAAGGAAAUAUUACAUACAUAAAGUAAAUUAAUAAGGCAUUUGAUUUUUAUUUUCAUUUUUUAAAAGAAUUAAAAAAUAAAUAAAAAUAACACACAUUUUUUUAAAAAAGGAUGAUAAAAAUGAAUUUAAUGGUUCCAAGACCGAAUUGGAAUUAAAACAAAAAUUAAAUGGGCAAACCUAAAAAAGGAAAGAGCAAUUUGGGGCCCGAACGAAACGUGCCCAAAUAUGUAGGGGCCAAAUGGGAAAUUAUUCCCCAGCCCUUGAAGUGCGCCGUUUCGUAAUGGGUUAAAAUGGAAUGGGAAUAAAAUCAUAGGCAAAUUUAAAAAAAGCUGAAAGGACGUUAUUGAAAUUCAAAUAAAAUUUAGAAGGGCCAACCGAAAAAAUAACCCCUUUUACUCGGCCCAACACGACAUUGUUUAGGGCGUUAAAGUCUGCACAUGGUCUAAGGACCAAAUUAAAACGUAAGCAAAAUUUAAGGCUGAAAUCAAAAAUAAAUAAAUAAAUAAAUAAAAAUGAACACGUUAAAAAAACGGAGGGACUUAAUGCGAAAAUAGCCCACUUUUGUUUCAGAACACGCAGACCUUUAACGGGUCAGAUUCAGGUGCGCGGGCAAAAGGGAUUAAACGACGUUGUUUCGACGUCGAUGCAACUUGUGCAAAACGGCGCCGUUUAGCUUUGGCUAUUUAAGCCAAAAUUUUCUUAAAAAACUUUCAUUUCUGCCCUCCUCUAAAAAAAACUGCUAUCCCCUUUUCUCUGAAUUUUCCCAAAAUCUGGCCACGGUUCCUUCGGCCCCCUCGCGUCGACCACCGUGGCUCCGCCGUGGCCGACGGUCAGAGCCACACAAAACCCAUUUUUAAUGCCGUUUUAAAAAACAUUUGAAGGCCAUGCUUUCUAAGCCCAAAGGCCGAAGGAAAAGAGAUUUCCACGCCCUCCUUCGGUCCGAUUUCGGCGGCCAUAAAGGGGCACCGGCGAUGGGACAGGUUGGGCGAUCCCAGGUAUUUCUCUUUUCUCUUUUUUAAAUUUUGUUAUUUUUUUGUUAAAACUGAUUUGUAAAAGAAGUGAAUAAAUAAAUAAUAAAAAAAACGAAAACAGAAAACAGAAAACAGAAAAAUAAAAAGAAAAACGAUCAGAUUUUUCAACCUUUUAAUAUCUUUGUUCUGUUUUUUGAUUAACUGAUGUGCGUAAAAAAGUACAAGGAUCCGAUCUAGGCUUUUAUAGCCGAUUUCAAUGACUCUUUUAUUUCUCUUUUUUGUUUGUUUUCAUUAACUAAUAUCACUUGCAUGCUUCUCUACUAUUGCAUUCAAUUUUGCAGGUGUUUCGAGGCCGACGGUGGUGGCAGAGGCAUGCGCGAGGAGGCUGGCAGAACGUGCGGCGCUGGGGCAUUGGGCAGAGGUGUGCGACGCUGGAGGCCC
rnacentral:lncRNA from 1 species